AAAUCUAGUCAUACCAAGCCUAAUCUGUUCUCAGAAGCUGAGCAAGACCAGAUCUGGUUAGUACUUAGGUGGAAGACUACCUGAUAAUACCAGGUGUUAUUUUUU
rnacentral:rRNA from 1 species